AGGAAGUACCCCCUCUAGUGGCUGAUUUUAGAACUGAGCACGGAGGGGUUGACACUGAAAGUAGCAGAGCAUCCCUCUCCGUUAACGAUCCGGAUGGAGGACACUUUGCUUUGAGGAAGCUACUGUGAAAGGCUGGGCCUUAAGAAUCACAGCUACUUUAGCUGAUGUUCCUUGUGACAGAUGCCCGAGGAGCCAUUGAGGAAACGGGAGCUGACUUCAUUGUGAGCUGAUGAAAGAGACAGACCUUGGCCUCCCAGAAGGAGUGAUUCUAUGAGGCUACUUGAAGAGGGAUAGUACCAUACAGGUGUGACAGCCCGUCAGAAACACGACGCGUGCGU
rnacentral:lncRNA from 1 species